rnacentral:misc_RNA from 1 species
UGCUUAAGAUGACUAGGCGUAUUAGUUUCCCAUUUGGGAAUCCACUCGUGCGCCGGUGUAUUGGUCUCUAAAGCCUUUGUGUUGGUUGAUCGCUAUGCUUUCUUAAAUGUUCUUCUGAGCAUUUACUUAGUUUGGCUUGCAGUAAGCAUACCGAACUUGAUCUUGAUCUCAAAUCAGGCAAGACUACCCGCUGAAUUUAA